GAACGCUGGCGGCGUGCUUAACACAUGCAAGUCGAACGAGGAUUUAACGGAAUGCGAUUCGUCAAAUGAAAUUAAAUCCGAGUGGCGGACGGGUGAGUAACGCGUGGAUAACCUGCCUCACACAGGGGGACAACAGUUGGAAACGACUGCUAAUACCGCAUAACACAAGUAAUUCGCAUGAAUAACUUGCCAAAGAUUAUAUCGGUGUGAGAUGGAUCCGCGUCUGAUUAGCCAGUUGGCGGGGUAACGGCCCACCAAAGCGACGAUCAGUAGCCGACCUGAGAGGGUGACCGGCCACAUUGGGACUGAGACACGGCCCAAACUCCUACGGGAGGCAGCAGUGGGGAAUAUUGCACAAUGGGCGCAAGCCUGAUGCAGCGACGCCGCGUGAAGGAUGAAGUAUUUCGGUAUGUAAAACUCUAUCAGCAGGGAAGAUAAUGACGGUACCUGACUAAGAAGCACCGGCUAAAUACGUG
rnacentral:rRNA from 1 species